GGUGUAGCUCAGUUGGUCAGAGCUGGCGGCUCAUAACCGCUUGGUCGCGAGUUCAAAUCUUGCCUGUCCCACCA
rnacentral:tRNA from 1 species